GUGAGUCAUCGAAUCUUUGAACGCACAUUGCACUUUAGGAGUCAAUUCUAAAGUAUACCUGUUUGAGUAUCAUUUACAAUUAUCCAAUUUUAUUGGGAUUUGAGGGUUAAGGGAGUACGCUGCCUUUCUCUUUAAAUGUAGUAGGGAACCAAGGAUAAGCGCGCUUAUUUCUUGAAUGAGGUUAUUUACUCUUGUAGUAAACUAAUCAGGAAAGAAUAAGAAAGCGGUUCUAUAAAAUUGGUCUCUUUAACCGAUCUCUGGCAACAGAGUCAACUUGUACAAUUGUGAUCUCAAAUCAGG
rnacentral:misc_RNA from 1 species